GGGGGCUUAACCUUCCGAAGUCCGAAGAGACUGCCAAACUUGGGACCGGGAGAGGCAAGAGGUACUUUUAGGGUAGGGGUAAAAUCCUGUAAUCCUAAAAGGACCACCGGUGGCGAAGGCGUCUUGCUAGAACGGAUCCGACGGUGAGGGACGAAGCCCUGGGUCGCAAACGGGAUUAGAUACCCCGGUAGUCCAGGGUGUAAACGCUGCAGACUUGGUGUCGGGAACCCUUCGGGGGUGUCCAGUGCCGGAGAGAAGUUGUUAAGUCUGCUACUUGGGGAGUACGUCCGCAAGGAUGAAACUUAAAGGAAUUGGCGGGA
rnacentral:rRNA from 1 species